rnacentral:rRNA from 1 species
UACGUAGGGUGCGAGCGUUAAUCGGAAUACUGGGCGUAAAGCGUGCGCAGGCGGCGCGUUAAGACAGGUGUGAAAGCCCCGAGCUUAACUUGGGAAUUGCGCUUGUGACUGGCGUGCUGGAGUGUGGCAGAGGGAGGUGGAAUUCCACGUGUAGCAGUGAAAUGCGUAGAGAUGUGGAGGAACACCGAUGGCGAAGGCAGCCUCCUGGGCCAGCACUGACGCUCAUGCACGAAAGCGUGGGGAGCGAACAGG